GACGAACGGAAAAGACGGUA
rnacentral:siRNA from 1 species